rnacentral:lncRNA from 1 species
CCGUCGAUCUCCGACAUGGGAUGGCCGUACUGGAGAUCUCGCACGGCAGCGUCAUGGGGCUCGGCUGCCGCUGCUGGUAAACACACAGCAGGGGGCCUGCGUCGGAGGUCCAUGGCCUUGCGGGGCGCCCGCGACAGAAGGGCAGGUGUGUAUGUACGUCUGUAUGGACGUGUGUAUGUAUGGGUGUAUGUAUGGGUGUAUGGGUGUUUAGUAGGUGCUUGCUUGCACGUAACGCACGUACUUGAGGGCAUCUGGAGAAUGCAGCCGGAGAGAAGGAAGGAAGGACGGAUGCAUGCAUGAUGAACUGCUGCUCUCGAACAAGCCGAUUCAACGUCUUGUCAUGGUUGGUAAAUGACUGCUGGAGGAGAGAGGAGGCGAAUGGAACACAGGCAGACUGAUAUGAGAAUUUAUUAAGUCGAGGGAAGAUACAUAAAGAGGUUAGUGGCUUGAAAUGAUCCGCGCUGAGUUCUUCCUGCCGAUCUGUUUGGGGACCUGCAGGUAGGCCUGAUGCGGUCGGAAAGGACA